rnacentral:rRNA from 1 species
UGGGGAAUUUUGGACAAUGGGCGAAAGCCUGAUCCAGCAAUGCCGCGUGUGUGAAGAAGGCCUUCGGGUUGUAAAGCACUUUUGUCCGGAAAGAAAUCCUUGGCUCUAAUACAGUCGGGGGAUGACGGUACCGGAAGAAUAAGCACCGGCUAACUACGUGCCAGCAGCCGCGGUAAUACGUAGGGUGCAAGCGUUAAUCGGAAUUACUGGGCGUAAAGCGUGCGCAGGCGGUUUGCUAAGACCGAUGUGAAAUCCCCGGGCUCAACCUGGGAACUGCAUUGGUGACUGGCAGGCUAGAGUAUGGCAGAGGGGGGUAGAAUUCCACGUGUAGCAGUGAAAUGCGUAGAGAUGUGGAGGAAUACCGAUGGCGAAGGCAGCCCCCUGGGCCAAUACUGACGCUCAUGCACGAAAAGCGUGGGGAGCAAAACAGGAUUAGAUACCCUGGUAGUCCACGCCCUAAAACGAUGUCAACUAGUUGUUGGGGAUUCAUUUCCUUAGUAACGUAGCUAACGCGUGAAGUUGACCGCCUGGGGAGUACGGUCGCAAGAUUAAAAACUUAAAUGAAUUGACGGGGUCAUAGCUG